rnacentral:rRNA from 1 species
GACGAACGCUGGCGGCGUGCUUAACACAUGCAAGUCGAACGGAAAGGCCCUGCUUUUGUGGGGUGCUCGAGUGGCGAACGGGUGAGUAACACGUUAGUAACCUGCCCUUGACUUUGGGAUAACUUCAGGAAACUGGGGCUAAUACCGGAUAGGAGCUCCUGCUGCAUGGUGGGGGUUGGAGAGUUUCGGCGGUUGGGGAUGGACUCGCGGCUUAUCAGCUUGUUGGUGGGGUAGUGGCUUACCAAGGCUUUGACGGGUAGCCGGCCUGAGAGGGUGACCGGCCACAUUGGGACUGAGAUACGGCCCAGACUCCUACGGGAGGCAGCAGUGGGGAAUAUUGCACAAUGGGCGGAAGCCUGAUGCAGCAACGCCGCGUGCGGGAUGACGGCCUUCGGGUUGUAAACCGCUUUCGCCUGUGACGAAGCGUGAGUGACGGUAAUGGGUAAAGAAGCACCGGCUAACUACGUG